AGUUUAAAUACCUCAAUAACUUCAAGGUACCACAUCGAUUCUCGGUCAGGAAAUGGCGAAAGGUCAACAAUUUUGUGUAUCUUAACUAAAGGGAGGCUGCCUUUUUGGACAAAAUACAGUCCAACAACCAUAACAUACAUCCCUUUCACCCAAGAAAGUGUGAGGAAGUCGCCGAGAAGUUGGAGUUCAAUGACCCUGUGUAU
rnacentral:misc_RNA from 1 species